rfam:Angiostrongylus costaricensis strain Costa Rica genome assembly, scaffold: ACOC_contig0003007
GCCUCUUUAGCUCAGUGGCAGAGCGUCUGUCUCGUAAAUAGAAAGUCUACGGCUCAAUCCCGCAAGGAGGCA